CUCCCGCCGGCGACCGGCGCACGGGUGAGUAACACGUAUGAAACCUGCCCGUAGCAGGGGGAUAAGCGGAAGAAAUUCCGUCUAAUACCGCGUAACAACCCGAGGAGGCAUCUCCUCGGGUUUAAAGGAAGCGAUUCCGGCUACGGAUGGUCAUGCGUCGCAUUAGCUAGUUGGCGGGGUAACGGCCCGCCAAGGCGACGAUGCGUAGGGGUUCUGAGAGGAAGGUCCCCCACACUGGUACUGAGACACGGACCAGACUCCUACGGAAGGCAGCAG
rnacentral:rRNA from 1 species